rnacentral:rRNA from 1 species
CCUACGGGAGGCAGCAGUGGGGAAUAUUGCACAAUGGGGGGAACCUUGAUGCAGCAACGCCGCGUGGGUGAAGAAGUACUCCGGUAUGUAAAGCCCUGUCAGCAGGGAAGAAAAUGACGGUACCUGACCAAGAAGCCCCGGCUAACUACGUGCCAGCAGCCGCGGUAAUACGUAGGGGGCAAGCGUUAUCCGGAUUUACUGGGUGUAAAGGGAGCGUAGACGGCAAGGCAAGUCUGGAGUGAAAGCCCGGGGCCCAACCCCGGGACUGCUCUUGGAACUGCGUGGCUGGAGUGCAGGAGGGGCAGGCGGAAUUCGUGGUGUAGCGGUGAAAUGCGUAGAUAUCAGGAGGAACCCCGGUGGCGAAGGCGGCCUGCUGGACUGCAACUGACGUUGAGGCCCGAAAGCGUGGGGAGCAAACAGGAUUAGAUACCCCGGUAGUC